UAACAAACUACUCCUAGAAAUUUUAUGACAUUUUAUAAUUUUUUUUUGGUCAGUCUAAUCUAAAGGCCUUUGCGAUGUUAAAUUGUGAACAUCUUGAGGUUUCAUUAAAGGGUGUGGCCAUGGCGCCGUGACAAAUUUCGAUGUCUCGCCAUGGGAAUAGAAGUUGUUGUAACUCAGGCAUAAGAUGUCCGAUCUUCCCCAAACUUCACAUGUUCGAAAAGAGUCUUGGCCUGAACACAUCUGAAGGUCAUUAUUCCACUAUAAUCAUAGCGCCACCUGCUGACAACAGAAAAUGGCUUAUUUUACACUAACUUAAACAUGCAAUGUCCAAUCUGCACCAAAC
ensembl:lncRNA